rnacentral:rRNA from 1 species
UUAACCGGAUGGCUAUAUGAGUAAGCAAUUUACCUUGAGAAAAACACUGUGUUCCAGGCAGGUUUGUCCGGAAUGCAUUAGCAUGGAAUAAUAGAAUAUGACUGAAGUCGAUUUAUUGGUUUGAGGCUUUAGUAAUGAUUAAUAGGAACAGUCGGGGGCAUUGGUACUUGACAGUCAGAGGUGAAAUUCUAGGAUUUGUCAAAGACUAACAAAUGCGAAAGCAUUUGCCAAGGAUGUUUUCAUUAAUCAAGAACGAAAGAUAGGGGAUCAAAGACGAACAGAUACCGUCCUAGUCUUAACUAUAAACUAUACCGACUCGGAUUCAGAUGAAUCAUAAAGUUCAUUUGGGACCGUAGGAGAAAUCAAAGUUUUUGGGUUCUGGGGGAAGUAUGGUCGCAAGGCUGAAACUUAAAGGAAUUGACGGUUUUGCACCACCAUGGAGUGGAGUCUGCGGCUUAAUUUGACUCAACACUGGGAAACUCAUCAGGGCAAG